GCAAAUUGAGGUAGUAGGUUGUAUAGUAGUAUCUAUCUAGCAUACUAUACAGCUUGCUAGCUUUCUUUGC
rnacentral:pre_miRNA from 13 species